AAAGCGUGCGCAGGCGGUUUUGUAAGACUGUCGUGAAAUCCCCGGGCUCAACCUGGGAAUGGCGAUGGUGACUGCAAGGCUAGAGUGUGUCAGAGGGGGGUAGAAUUCCACGUGUAGCAGUGAAAUGCGUAGAGAUGUGGAGGAAUACCGAUGGCGAAGGCAGCCCCCUGGGAUAACACUGACGCUCAUGCACGAAAGCGUGGGGAGCAAACAGGAUUAGAUACCCCUGU
rnacentral:rRNA from 1 species